AACGAACGCUGGCGGCAGGCCUAACACAUGCAAGUCGAACGCCGUAGCAAUACGGAGUGGCAGACGGGUGAGUAACACGUGGGAACGUACCUUUCGGUUCGGAAUAACUCAGGGAAACUUGAGCUAAUACCGGAUACGUGCGAGAGCAGAAAGAUUUAUCGCCGAAAGAUCGGCCCGCGUCCGAUUAGCUUGUUGGUGAGGUAACGGCUCACCAAGGCGACGAUCGGUAGCUGGUCUGAGAGGAUGAUCAGCCACACUGGGACUGAGACACGGCCCAGACUCCUACGGGAGGCAGCAGUGGGGAAUAUUGGACAAUAGGCGGCAAGACCUCGAUCCACGCCA
rnacentral:rRNA from 1 species